rnacentral:rRNA from 1 species
GUUAGGAAUCUUCGGCAAUGGGGGAAACCCUGACCGAGCGACACUGCGUGGAGGAUGAAGGUUUUCGGAUCGUAAACUCCUGAACGAGGGACGAAAAAUGACGGUACCUCGCUAAUAGCACCGGAUAACUCCGUGCCAGCAGCCGCGGUAAUACGGAGGGUGCGAGCGUUAUCCGGAAUCACUGGGCGUAAAGGGCGCGUAGGCGGUUUGUCAAGUCCGAUGUUAAAGCGUGAGGCUCAACCUCAUCACGGCGUUGGAUACUAGCAAGCUUGACGGUUGGAGAGGAAGGUAGAAUUACCAGUGUAGCGGUGGAAUGCGUAGAUACUGGUAGGAAUACCCAUUGCGAAGGCAGCCUUCUGGACAACACGUGACGCUGAGGCGCGAAAGUGUGGGGAGCAAACCGGAUUAGAUACCCCAGUAGUCC